UACGGAAGGUGCGAGCGUUAAUCGGAAUUACUGGGCGUAAAGCGCGCGUAGGCGGUUUGUUAAGUCAGAUGUGAAAGCCCAUGGCUCAACCAUGGACGUGCAUUUGAAACUGGCAGACUUGAGUAUUGGAGGGGUGGUGGAAUUCCCGGUGUAGAGGUGAAAUUCGUAGAUAUGUGGAGGAAUACCAGUGGCGAAGGCGGCCACCUGGACAGUAACUGACGCUGAGGCGCGAAAGUGU
rnacentral:rRNA from 1 species